GGCUCCCAAAUACACACUUGCAGUGUUGCUACUUGCAUUGGUGUUUGCAGCAGUCUCCAUUGCUGAUGAAUACCCUAAACCUAUUCACGACAAGCCUCCAUUCCAAAAGCCACCCUAUGAGAAGCCUCCAUACCAUAAGCCACCAUUCGAGAAACCACCACACGACAAGCCACCCUAUGAGAAGCCACCACAUGAGAAGCCACCAUAUGAAAAACCACCACACGAGAAGCCACCAUAUGGAAAGCCACCCCAUCAGGAGGAGCAAGUAGAGAAGGUUGAGGUUAAUGGCUACUACAAGCCACCACAACACCAUGAG
rnacentral:lncRNA from 1 species